rnacentral:rRNA from 1 species
AACGAACGCUGGCGGUAGGCUUAACACAUGCAAGUCGAGCGCCCCGCAAGGGGAGCGGCAGACGUGUGGGUAACGCGUGGGAACGUACUCUUAUCUUCGGGAUAGCUCCGGGAAACUGGAAUUAAUACCGAAUGUGCCCUUUGGGGGAAAGAUUUAUCGGAUAAGGAUGGGCCCGCGGUGGAUUAGCUAGUUGGUGGGGUAAAGGCCUACCAAGGCGAAGAUCCAUAGCUGGUCUGAGAGGAUGAUCAGCCACAUUGGGACUGAGACGCAGGCCAAAAUCCUACGGGAGGAAGAAGUGGGGAAUAUUGGCACAUGGGCGCAAGGAUGAUCGAGCCAUGCCGCGUGAGUGAUGAAGGCGUUAGGGUUGUAAAGCUGUUUAACCGGAGAAGAUACUGACGGUAUCCGGAGAAGAAGCACCGGCUAACUUCGUG